CGGGACAGUUCCUUUCUACUGCUCACACUUAGGGGACAUGGAGGGAGGGAGGGACAGUUCAUUUCUACUGCUCACACUUAGGGAACAUGGAGGAAGUGAGGGACAGUUCCUUUCUACUGCUCACACUUAGGGGACAUGGAGAGAGUGAGUGACAGUUCCUUUCUAUUACUAACACUUAGGGGACAUGGAGGGAGUGAGGGACAGUUCCUUUCUACUGCUUUCACUUAGGGGACGUGGAGGGAGUAAGAGGCAGUUCCUUUCUACUGCUCACACUUAGGGGACAUGGAGGAAUGAGGGACGUUCCUUUCUACUGCUCUCACUUAGGGGACUGAGGUUUUACAAGUUAUGUGUAUUGCUCAAAAUCAUUUACUUAUCCAGAGGUAGAGUAGGAUUGAAACCUAGGACCACUUUGUUUCAAAGCCCCUGUAAGUGACAGGGAAGUUUAGGGUGUGUUAAGAAUCUAAGGGUUUUAGGAAGCUAAUUUAGACAGGAGGCUCAGGGAAAGCUUUGCUGAGGAAGCAGAAGCAAUCCUUAAGUGUUAGCUAGCUUUGCAGAAAAAGCAGGA